CCACUGAGCGAUUACAGGAAACGACACCUGGACAGUGGACACACCCGCGCACUCCGAUCUUAAGGGAAAGCUACAAACAGCUGGGAUCCUUCAUGAUAUGGUUUUGGGUGGAGACUUCAAUCUUUUAAUGGAUCCGGUCCUUGAUCAUAGUGAUGCAAAGGGGAAACUGGCAAGGCUGUCCUCUCUCCCCCUUAUUGUUCUGUCUUGCCCUGGAACCAUUAGCAGCUGCAAUAAGAGGAUGAUUUUCCUGGUAUUGUCGCAGGAGGUGUGGUGCAUAAAAUUCUACUCUAC